rnacentral:rRNA from 1 species
UACGGAGGGAGCUAGCGUUGUUCGGAAUUACUGGGCGUAAAGCGCACGUAGGCGGCUUUGUAAGUUAGAGGUGAAAGCCCGGGGCUCAACCCCGGAACUGCCUUUAAGACUGCAUCGCUUGAAUCCAGGAGAGGUGAGUGGAAUUCCGAGUGUAGAGGUGAAAUUCGUAGAUAUUCGGAAGAACACCAGUGGCGAAGGCGGCUCACUGGACUGGUAUUGACGCUGAGGUGCGAAAGCGUGGGGAGCAAACAGG